rnacentral:rRNA from 1 species
UAGUUGCAAGGUAUAGACCCGAAACCCGGUGAUCUAGCCAUGGGCAGGUUGAAGGUUGAGUAACAUCAACUGGAGGACCGAACCCACUAACGUUGAAAAGUUAGGGGAUGACCUGUGGCUAGGAGUGAAAGGCUAAUCAAACCGGGAGAUAGCUGGUUCUCCCCGAAAUCUAUUUAGGUAGAGCCUCGGACGAAUACUUACGGGGGUAGAGCACUGUUAAGGCUAGGGGGUCAUCCCGACUUACCAACCCUUUGCAAACUCCGAAUACCGUAAAGUACUAUCCGGGAGACACACGGCGGGUGCUAACGUCCGUCGUGAAGAGGGAAACAACCCAGACCGCCAGCUAAGGUCCCAAAGUCAUAGUUAAGUGGGAAACGAUGUGGAAAGGCCCAGACAGCCAGGAGGUUGGCUUAGAAGCAGCCAUCCUUUAAAGAAAGCGUAAUAGCUCACUGGUCGAGUCGGUCUGCGCGGAAGAUGUAACGGGGCUAAACUAUGCACCGAAGCUGCGGAUUCAAA